UACCAGCACCCCGAGUGGUCGGGACGAUUAUUGGGCCUAAAGCAUCCGUAGCCGGCCUUACAAGUCCCCCGUUAAAUCCAACUGCUUAACAGAUGGGCUGCGGAGGAUACUAUAGAGCUAGGAGGCGGGAGAGGCAAGCGGUACUCGAUGGGUAGGGGUAAAAUCCGUUGAUCCAUUGAAGACCACCAGUGGCGAAGGCGGCUUGCCAGAACGCGCUCGACGGUGAGGGAUGAAAGCUGGGGGAGCAAACCGG
rnacentral:rRNA from 1 species